rnacentral:rRNA from 1 species
AGAGUUUGAUCCUGGCUCAGGACGAACGCUGGCGGCGUGCUUAACACAUGCAAGUCGAACGGUGAAGGGAUUGGCUUUUGUUGGUCCUGGAUGAGUGGCGAACGGGUGAGUAACACGUGAGUAACCUGCCCCCUUCUUCUGGAUAACCGCAUGAAAGUGUGGCUAAUACGGGAUAUUCUGCGCCUGCUGCAUGGUGGGUGUGGGAAAGAUUGUGCCUUUGGGUGUUUUCGGUGGGGGAUGGGCUCGCGGCCUAUCAGCUUGUUGGUGGGGUGAUGGCCUACCAAGGCGGUGACGGGUAGCCGGCCUGAGAGGGUGGACGGUCACACUGGGACUGAGACACGGCCCAGACUCCUACGGGAGGCAGCAGUGGGGAAUAUUGCACAAUGGGCGCAAGCCUGAUGCAGCGACGCCGCGUGAGGGAUGGAGGCCUUCGGGUUGUGAACCUCUUUCGCCAGUGAAGAAGGUCCUGCUCUUUGUGGUGGGGUUGACGGUAGCUGGGUUAAUGAAGCGCCGGCUAACUACGUGCCAGCAGCCGCGGUAAUACGUAGGGCGCGAGCGUUGUCCGGAAUUAUUGGGCGUAAAGAGCUCGUAGGCGGCUGGUCGCGUCUGUCGUGAAAUCCUCUGGCUUAACUGGGGGCUUGCGGUGGGUACGGGCCGGCUUGAGUGCGGUAGGGGAGACUGGAACUCCUGGUGUAGCGGUGGAAUGCGCAGAUAUCAGGAAGAACACCGGUGGCGAAGGCGGGUCUCUGGGCCGUUACUGACGCUGAGGAGCGAAAGCGUGGGGAGCGAACAGGAUUAGAUACCCUGGUAGUCCACGCCGUAAACGUUGGGCACUAGGUGUGGGGGGCCUUUUCCGGGUUUUCCGCGCCGUAGCUAACGCAUUAAGUGCCCCGCCUGGGGAGUACGGCCGCAAGGCUAAAACUCAAAGGAAUUGACGGGGGC